GGGUUGUGAGGUUAAGCGACUAAGCGUACACGGUGGAUGCCUAGGCAGUCAGAGGCGAUGAAGGGCGUGCUAAUCUGCGAAAAGCGUCGGUAAGGUGAUAUGAACCGUUACAACCGACGAUACCCGAAUGGGGAAACCCAGUGCAAUUCGUUGCACUAUUGCAUGGUGAAUACAUAGCCAUGCAAGGCGAACCGGGGGAACUGAAACAUCUAAGUACCCCGAGGAAAAGAAAUCAACCGAGAUUCCCCCAGUAGCGGCGAGCGAACGGGGAGGAGCCCAGAACCUGAAUCAGCAUAUGUGUUAGUGGAAGCGUCUGGAAAGUCGCACGGUACAGGGUGAUAGUCCCGUACACAAAAAUGCAUAUGUUGUGAGUUCGAUGAGUAGGGCGGGACACGUGACAUCCUGUCUGAAUAUGGGGGGACCAUCCUCCAAGGCUAAAUACUCCUGACUGACCGAUAGUGAACCAGUACCGUGAGGGAAAGGCGAAAAGAACCCCGGCGAGGGGAGUGAAAUAGAACCUGAAACCGUGUACGUACAAGCAGUGGGAGCACCUUCGUGGUGUGACUGCGUACCUUUUGUAUAAUGGGUCAGCGACUUAUAUUUUGUAGCAAGGUUAACCGAAUAGGGGAGCCGUAGGGAAACCGAGUCUUAACUGGGCGAAUAGUUGCAAGGUAUAGACCCGAAACCCGGUGAUCUAGCCAUGGGCAGGUUGAAGGUUGGGUAACACUAACUGGAGGACCGAACCGACUAAUGUUGAAAAAUUAGCGGAUGACUUGUGGCUGGGGGUGAAAGGCCAAUCAAACCGGGAGAUAGCUGGUUCUCCCCGAAAGCUAUUUAGGUAGCGCCUCGUGAACUCAUCUUCGGGGGUAGAGCACUGUUUCGGCUAGGGGGUCAUCCCGACUUACCAAACCGAUGCAAACUCCGAAUACCGAAGAAUGUUAUCACGGGAGACACACGGCGGGUGCUAACGUCCGUCGUGAAGAGGGAAACAACCCAGACCGCCAGCUAAGGUCCCAAAGUCAUGGUUAAGUGGGAAACGAUGUGGGAAGGCAUAGACAGCCAGGAUGUUGGCUUAGAAGCAGCCAUCAUUUAAAGAAAGCGUAAUAGCUCACUGGUCGAGUCGGCCUGCGCGGAAGAUGUAACGGGGCUAAACCAUGCACCGAAGCUGCGGCAGCGACGCUUAGGCGUUGUUGGGUAGGGGAGCGUUCUGUAAGCCGUUGAAGGUGACCUGUGAGGGUUGCUGGAGGUAUCAGAAGUGCGAAUGCUGACAUAAGUAACGAUAAUGCGGGUGAAAAACCCGCACGCCGGAAGACCAAGGGUUCCUGUCCAACGUUAAUCGGGGCAGGGUGAGUCGACCCCUAAGGCGAGGCUGAAAAGCGUAGUCGAUGGGAAACAGGUUAAUAUUCCUGUACUUGGUGUUACUGCGAAGGGGGGACGGAGAAGGCUAGGCUAGCCGGGCGACGGUUGUCCCGGUUUAAGCAUGUAGGCGGAGUGACUUGGUAAAUCCGGUUGCUUAUCAACGCUGAGGUGUGAUGACGAGCCACUACGGUGGUGAAGUAGUUGAUGCCAAGCUUCCAGGAAAAGCCUCUAAGCAUCAGGUAACAUUAAAUCGUACCCCAAACCGACACAGGUGGUCAGGUAGAGAAUACUCAGGCGCUUGAGAGAACUCGGGUGAAGGAACUAGGCAAAAUGGUGCCGUAACUUCGGGAGAAGGCACGCUGGCAUUAGGUAAAGAGACUUGCUCUCGGCGCCGAAGCCAGUCGCAGAUACCAGCUGGCUGCAACUGUUUAAUAAAAACACAGCACUGUGCAAACACGAAAGUGGACGUAUACGGUGUGACGCCUGCCCGGUGCUGGAAGGUUAAUUGAUGGGGUCAGCCGCAAGGCGAAGCUCUUGAUCGAAGCCCCAGUAAACGGCGGCCGUAACUAUAACGGUCCUAAGGUAGCGAAAUUCCUUGUCGGGUAAGUUCCGACCUGCACGAAUGGCGUAAUGAUGGCCAGGCUGUCUCCACCCGAGACUCAGUGAAAUUGAACUCGCUGUGAAGAUGCAGUGUACCCGCGGCAAGACGGAAAGACCCCGUGAACCUUUACUAUAGCUUGACACUGAACAUUGAGCCUUGAUGUGUAGGAUAGGUGGGAGGCAUUGAAGUGUGGACGCCAGUCUGCAUGGAGCCAACCUUGAAAUACCACCCUUUAAUGUUUGAUGUUCUAACUCGGCCCCGUGAUCCGGGGUGAGGACAGUGUCUGGUGGGUAGUUUGACUGGGGCGGUCUCCUCCCAAAGAGUAACGGAGGAGCACGAAGGUUAGCUAAUCACGGUCGGACAUCGUGAGGUUAGUGCAAAGGCAUAAGCUAGCUUGACUGCGAGAGUGACGGCUCGAGCAGGUACGAAAGUAGGUCUUAGUGAUCCGGUGGUUCUGAAUGGAAGGGCCAUCGCUCAACGGAUAAAAGGUACUCCGGGGAUAACAGGCUGAUACCGCCCAAGAGUUCAUAUCGACGGCGGUGUUUGGCACCUCGAUGUCGGCUCAUCACAUCCUGGGGCUGAAGUAGGUCCCAAGGGUAUGGCUGUUCGCCAUUUAAAGUGGUACGCGAGCUGGGUUUAGAACGUCGUGAGACAGUUCGGUCCCUAUCUGCCGUGGGCGUUGGAAGAUUGAGAGGGGCUGCUCCUAGUACGAGAGGACCGGAGUGGACGAAUCACUGGUGUUCGGGUUGUCAUGCCAAUGGCAUUGCCCGGUAGCUAAAUUCGGAAGAGAUAACCGCUGAAAGCAUCUAAGCGGGAAACUUGCCUCGAGAUGAGUCUUCCCUGGGGCUUUAAGCCCCCUGAAGGAACGUUAAAGACUAUGACGUUGAUAGGCUGGGUGUGUAAGUGCAGCGAUGCAUUGAGCUAACCAGUACUAAUGAUCCGUGAGGCUUAACCUUACAACACCGAAGGUGUUUUGUA
rnacentral:rRNA from 1 species